GAAGUAUGCGCGCAUUUCAGCUCACAAAAGGAUUGGAGUUUCUUGCUUCACCAGCAGUUGAGAAACAUCAAGCCUGAGCCAGCAGCUCCCAGCCUGAGGGGCCCAGACACACUCAGUCAAAGUUCAUCUGGGUGCUGCUGUGCAGGGUGAUGGAGAUGUCCUCAGGAUGAGCUGGAGACAGGAGACCUGAUGCUGGUUUCUAAGAUGGGAUUAUUAAUGGGGAUAAUAGGGAGAGCCUGACCAACAGAAACUAACAGACCUUCCUACCUAUGAGUGAAAAAAGACCAACAUGCCAACUCCAGCAAGACUGAGAGGGCAGGGUUUCAAAGGUCGUAGAUGAGAACUCCAGUGUUAAUCAGCAAAUCAUAUGUAGCAUUGAUCUUGGCAUUUUCAAGAGGUCGUUAUGCCUGUAUCGUUAUUGAAUAAUCAUGCUAAUUUGAGU